GAUGAACGCUGGCGGCGUGCCUAAUACAUGCGAGUCGAGCGAACGGACGAGAAGCUUGCUUCUCUGAUGUUAGCGGCGGACGGGUGAGUAACACGUGGAUAACCUACCUAUAAGACUGGGAUAACUUCGGGAAACCGGAGCUAAUACCGGAUAAUAUUUUGAACCGCAUGGUUCAAAAGUGAAAGACGGUCUUGCUGUCACUUAUAGAUGGAUCCGCGCUGCAUUAGCUAGUUGGUAAGGUAACGGCUUACCAAGGCAACGAUGCAUAGCCGACCUGAGAGGGUGAUCGCCCACACUGGAACUGAGACACGGUCCAGACUCCUACUGUAGGCAGCAGUAGGGAAUCUUGCGCGAUGUGCGAAUGCCUGACGGAACAGUGUCGCUUUAGUGAUGAAGGUCUUCGGAUCGUAAAACUCUGUUUUUAUGGAAGAAAAUAUGUGUAAUAAACUUACCACAACUUGACGGUGCCUAAUCAGAAAGCCACGGCUAACUACGUG
rnacentral:rRNA from 1 species